rnacentral:rRNA from 1 species
GAUGAACGCUAGCGGCAGGCCUAACACAUGCAAGUCGAGGGGUAAUUUUCCCGAGCAAUCGGGAAGAACGACCGGCGCACGGGUGAGUAACGCGUAUGCAACCUACCUUUAACUGGGGAAUAGCCCGAAGAAAUUCGGAUUAAUACCCCAAAUAUUUUGGAAUCACAUGGUUUCAUAAUUAAAGUUCCAACGGUUAGAGAUGGGCAUGCGUGACAUUAGUUAGUUGGUGGGGUAACGGCUCACCAAGACGAUGAUGUCUAGGGGGUCUGAGAGGAUGGUCCCCCACACUGGUACUGAGACACGGACCAGACUCCUACGGGAGGCAGCAGUGAGGAAUAUUGGGCAAUGGACGCAAGUCUGACCCAGCCAUGUCGCGUGCAGGAUGACAGUCUUAUGGGUUGUAACUGCUUUUAUACAGGAAGAAACCCCCCGAAGUGUCGGGGGCUGACGGUACUGUAUGAAUAAGCAUCGGCUAACUCCGUGCCAGCAGCCGCGGUAAUACGGAGGAUGCAAGCGUUAUCCGGAUUUAUUGGGUUUAAAGGGUGCGUAGGCGGGAGAUUAAGUCAGUGGUGAAAUCCUGCAGCUUAACUGCAGAACUGCCAUUGAUACUGGUUUCCUUGAGUACAGUUGAGGUGGGCGGAAUGUGUAGUGUAGCGGUGAAAUGCUUAGAUAUUACACAGAACACCAAUUGCGUAGGCAGCUCACUAAACUGUUACUGACGCUGAGGCACGAAAGCGUGGGGAGCAAACAGGAUUAGAUACCCUGGUAGUCCACGCUGUAAACGAUGAUCACUCGUUGUUGGCGAUAUACAGUCAGCGACUAAGCGAAAGCAUUAAGUGAUCCACCUGGGGAGACGAUCGCAAGAUU